rnacentral:misc_RNA from 1 species
GAUGAAGAACGUAGCGAAAUGCGAUACGUAAUGUGAAUUGCAAAUUCAGUGAAUCAUCGAGUCUUUGAACGCACAUUGCGCCCCCUGGUAUUCCGGGGGGCAUGCCUGUCCGAGCGUCAUUGCUGCCCUCAAGCACGGCUUGUGUGUUGGGCCUCCGUCCUCCUCCCGGGGGACGGGCCCGAAAGGCAGCGGCGGCACCGCGUCCGGUCCUCGAGCGUAUGGGGCUUCGUCACCCGCUCUUGUAGGCCCGGCCGGCGCUUGCCGACACAUCAAUCUUUUUUCCAGGUUGACCUCGGAUCAGGUAGGGAUACCCGCUGAACUUAAGCAUAUCAAUAAGCGGAGG